GGGAAACAGGUUAAUAUUCCUGUACUUGGUGUUACUGCGAAGGGGGGACGGAGAAGGCUAUGUUGGCCGGGCGACGGUUGUCCCGGUUUAAGCGUGUAGGCUGGUUUUCCAGGCAAAUCCGGAAAAUCAAGGCUGAGGCGUGAUGACGAGGCACUACGGUGCUGAAGCAACAAAUGCCCUGCUUCCAGGAAAAGCCUCUAAGCAUCAGGUAACAUCAAAUCGUACCCCAAACCGACACAGGUGGUCAGGUAGAGAAUACCAAGGCGCUUGAGAGAACUCGGGUGAAGGAACUAGGCAAAAUGGUGCCGUAACUUCGGGAGAAGGCACGCUGAUAUGUAGGUGAAGCGACUUGCUCGUGGAGCUGAAAUCAGUCGAAGAUACCAGCUGGCUGCAACUGUUUAUUAAAAACACAGCACUGUGCAAACACGAAAGUGGACGUAUACGGUGUGACGCCUGCCCGGUGCCGGAAGGUUAAUUGAU
rnacentral:rRNA from 1 species